UUGCAAGAAAAAGAAAUAUGGAUGAAAUGCCCAGCAGGAGUGCCUGGACCCACAGUGCAAAGCCUCAUCCUUGAUCCACUGGUGCAGAGAUGCCAAGCCCACAGCACAGCUGUUAAGGAUUGGACAAAGCAGCCCGUGUGGACCCUGCCCAGGAGCUUCCUGUCUGGAGAGAGCCGAACUGGGCACAGCCCAGGGUGGAAGGUGGCCACAGGAAGCCGUCCAGGUGGGAGGAGCGCCUCGUGCCUUCGCUGUGUCUGCCGAGCCCAGCGUCCUCACACAGCCCUGCUGCCACCCAGCCAUGCUGGCCCACACGUCCCUUAGACAGCCGGCCACCUCCCGUCCCACCCCUGCUGCUUGUUUUGUGCCCUCACAGGUUUGCACUCCAUGGGGCCACUGCACUGGUGACCAUCUGUCAUCCAUGAUACCUGAAUUCAAACUGGAUUCCUCUGAAGGCCCUGGAGAACUUGUUUCUCAGGUUCCAACUGCCCUUCGCUGGGGCAUCUAGUGCUUGCACUCCACAGCAGUGAGACUGGCCACUCCCAAGUCAGGCCCCAGUGGGACACUGGGCAAGAAAGAGCCGUAGGGUUGGGCCUGUCUCUGAGGGUAGCCCUGGCCUGAGGGGGCCUACUGGACUCCAUCGUUGUGGCUGGGAGAGGUCAGGAGUGGCUGCCAGAGUGGGCUACAGCCUGGCUCUGCCCAAGGGCCACCUGGGGCUGGCCUUUCAGGGCUUGUCCUGUGCCCUCCUGCCCUCACUCCAUCCUGCAGAGGGCACCUUCUCCGUGGCCAGUUCCCCCUCCCCUAGUUUCCAUCCUCUGAAUAAUACCAAUGGCAGCCACAGCCAGCACUUCAGUAGACCUGGCACCAAGCAGCUGUCCUUCCAGUCACCCUUGGGGUGGGCAUGAUUACCCAUUGUGUUGACCAGAUUAGAAUGAGGCACAGAUGACUGAGCAACUUGCUGAGCUGCAGGUGGUCUGGCUCCAGAGGCUACCUGGGCUCUCUGCCCUAUUGGGACUUUGCUGGAGAGCCUCGAGUGCAGGGCACAGUUCCUGGCCCCACCUCCUGCUCUGCACCUUGGGAAGGGCAAGAACCUUGCAAAUUCACAUUAGCACGGACCAUCAGUGAGGACACGGUUUGUGCUCAGAACAAGCUGACAGCCCUUCUUCACACACUGCUCCCAGCUGUGGGGAAGGGUGGGGAGACCAGCAUCGACCUAUGCUGGAUGUAGGCACCCUGUGGCUGAGCUUGGGGACCCGUGUGGCCCUGAGACUGAGCCCAUGCCCAAAGCCUUACUCCAGGGCUGUCAGAACAUGGGUUCCUGGCCGAGCCAACCUGUGCCCUGACCUGGCGGAUGACAGGACACCUCCUCCUCCAUGGCAGGGUGCUGGCCCUGUGCACUCUGUAGUCUGCAAAGGCAACUCCUACCCCAGGGACCCCUAGAAGCUUCCCAGCCCCUAGAGGGACCAGGGCUGGGCUCUGGCAUCCCAUCAGUGCUGCUUUUAGGCAUUAGCAGUAGCCCAGAGUUGGCCCAUUCCACGGAAGCCACCAUCCCUCAUCCAUCCAUUUGGAAAGAGCGUCAUUGAGCCGGGUGGGGGGGAAGGUCUGUGACACAUUCCCCUGAGAGCAAGAAGAAAGCCCCAGAGAAGGCAGAAGAAAGGGAGGCAGUGAUACAGGAGGCUUGCAGAUAGCUGGAGUGGUUGGAUUUGGGGCAAAGACCAGGGACGAAGGAAGAAGGGGAGAGAGGAGGCGCAAUGGGGCUGGGGUUGGGGAGGGAGGGCAGGCACGAUGUGGGAUGGGUGGAGUGGUCUGGCUGGGCGGCUGCACAGAGAUGAAGCAUGUUCCGGGCACCAAAGCAGGGAGCAGGGAAAGCAGGUGGGGCCAAGAGGCAGUCCAGGCCCUGUUCACAGGCCACGUGUCCACUUUUCGGUUUCAUGCAAAGGUGCUGUGGGGCUCUGGGCAGGGGUGAGGGGAGGCCACUGCUGAGAUUACAGGAGGCUGUC
rnacentral:lncRNA from 1 species